UAAUUACAGGUGACAUUUCC
rnacentral:piRNA from 1 species